rnacentral:rRNA from 1 species
UAAUACGGAGGAGGCUAGCGUUGUUCGGAAUUACUGGGCGUAAAGCGUGCGUAGGCUGUUUUUUAAGAUGAGUGUGAAAGCCCGGAGCUCAACUCCGGAACUGCGCUCAUGACUGGAAGACUGGAGUCCGAGAGAGGUGAGUGGAAUUCCCAGUGUAGAGGUGAAAUUCGUAGAUAUUGGGAAGAACACCAGUGGCGAAGGCGGCUCACUGGCUCGGUACUGACGCUGAUGCACGAAAGCGUGGGGAGCAAACAGGAUUAGAUACCCUGGUAGUCCACGCCGUAAACUAUGAGUGCUAGACGUUGGGGGGCUUGCCUCUCAGUGUCGAAGCUAACGCGAUAAGCACUCCGCCUGGGGAGUACGGCCGCAAGGUUA